rnacentral:rRNA from 1 species
GACAGAGGGUGCAAACGUUGUUCGGAAUUACUGGGCGUAAAGCGCGUGUAGGCUGCUUCGCAAGUCGGAUGUGAAAGCCCUGGGCUCAACCCAGGAAGUGCAUUCGAAACUGCAGAGCUGGAGUCCUGGAGAGGAAGGCGGAAUUCUCGGUGUAGAGGUGAAAUUCGUAGAUAUCGAGAGGAACACCGGUGGCGAAGGGCGGCCUUCUGGACAGUGACUGACGCUGAGACGCGAAAGCGUGGGGAGCAAACAGG